UUUCCGUAGGUGAACCUGCGGAAGGAUCAUUAAAGAGUAAGGGUCUUCGGGCCCGAUCUCCAACCCUUUGUUUAACUACCAUGUUGCUUUGGCGGGCCCGUCUCACGACCGCCGGAAGUUUGGCUUCGACCAAACUUCUGGCCCGUGCCCGUCAGUGGCCCCUUCAAAUUCUUGAUCAAGUAUGAUGUCUUAGAUAAAAACUUAAUAGUUAAAACCUUCAACAACGGAUCUCUUGGUUCUG
rnacentral:misc_RNA from 1 species